rnacentral:rRNA from 1 species
AACGAACGCUGGCGGCAGGCCUAACACAUGCGAGUCGAGCGCCCCGCAAGGGGAGCGGCAGACGGGUGAGUAACGCGUGGGAAUCUACCCAUCUCUACGGAAUAACGCAUGGAAACGUGUGCUAAUACCGUAUACGUCCUUCGGGAGAAAGAUUUAUCGGAGACGGAUGAGCCCGCGUUGGAUUAGCUAGUUGGUGGGGUAAAGGCCUACCAAGGCGACGAUCCAUAGCUGGUCUGAGAGGAUGAUCGGCCACACUGGGACUGAGACACGGCCCAGACUCCUACGGGAGGCAGCAGUGGGGAAUAUUGGACAAUGGGCGCAAGCCUGAUCCAGCCAUGCCGCGUGAGUGAUGAAGGCCCUAGGGUUGUAAAGCUCUUUCAACGGUGAAGAUAAUGACGGUAACCGUAGAAGAAGCCCCGGCUAACUUCGUGCCAGCCGCCGCAGUAACAC